GGGGGCCCGCACAAGCGGUGGAGCAUGUGGUUUAAUUCGACGCAACGCGCAGAACCUUACCAGCCCUUGACAUGUCCAGGACCGGUCGCAGAGACGUGACCUUCUCUUCGGAGCCUGGAACACAGGUGCUGCAUGGCUGUCGUCAGCUCGUGUCGUGAGAUGUUGGGUUAAGUCCCGCAACGAGCGCAACCCCCGUCCUUAGUUGCUACCAUUUAGUUGAGCACUCUAAGGAGACUGCCGGUGAUAAGCCGCGAGGAAGGUGGGGAUGACGUCAAGUCCUCAUGGCCCUUACGGGCUGGGCUACACACGUGCUACAAUGGCGGUGACAGUGGGAUGCGAAGACGCAAGUCCUAGCAAAUCUCAAAAAGCCGUCUCAGUUCGGAUUGGGCUCUGCAACUCGAGCCCAUGAAGUUGGAAUCGCUAGUAAUCGUGGAUCAGCACGCCACGGUGAAUACGUUCCCGGGCCUUGUACACACCGCCCGUCACACCAUGGGAGUUGGCUUUACCUGAAGACGGUGCGCUAACCAGCAAUGGAGGCAGCCGGCCACGGUAGGGUCAGCGACUGGGGUGAAGUCGUAACAAGGUAGCCGUAGGGGAACCUGCGGCUGGAUC
rnacentral:rRNA from 1 species